GCCAUAGCUCAGCGGGAGAACAUCUGCCUUGCAUGCAGAAGGUCCCAGAUUCAACCCUGAACAUCUCCAGGUAGGGCA